rnacentral:rRNA from 1 species
UGGGGAAUAUUGCACAAUGGGCGCAAGCCUGAUGCAGCCAUGCCGCGUGUGUGAAGAAGGCCUUCGGGUUGUAAAGCACUUUCAGCGAGGAGGAAGGUGGUGAACUUAAUACGUUCAUCAAUUGACGUUACUCGCAGAAGAAGCACCGGCUAACUCCGUGCCAGCAGCCGCGGUAAUACGGAGGGCGCAAGCGUUAAUCGGAAUUACUGGGCGUAAAGCGCACGCAGGCGGUUUGUUAAGUCAGAUGUGAAAUCCCCGGGCUCAACCUGGGAACUGCAUUUGAAACUGGCAAGCUAGAGUCUCGUAGAGGGGGGUAGAAUUCCAGGUGUAGCGGUGAAAUGCGUAGAGAUCUGGAGGAAUACCGGUGGCGAAGGCGGCCCCCUGGACGAAGACUGACGCUCAGGUGCGAAAGCGUGGGGAGCAAACAGGAUUAGAUACCCUGGUAGUCCAGCGCUGUAAACGAUGUCGAUUUGGAGGUUGUGCCCUUGAGGCGUGGCUUCCGGAGCUAACGCGUUAAAGUCGACCGCCUGGGGGAGUACGGCCGCAAGGUUAAAACUCAAAGGAAUUGACGGGGUC